GAUGAACGCUGGCGGCGUGCCUAAUACAUGCAAGUCGAGCGAAUGGAUUAAGAGCUUGCUCUUAUGAAGUUAGCGGCGGACGGGUGAGUAACACGUGGGUAACCUGCCCAUAAGACUGGGAUAACUCCGGGAAACCGGGGCUAAUACCGGAUAACAUUUUGAACCGCAUGGUUCGAAAUUGAAAGGCGGCUUCGGCUGUCACUUAUGGAUGGACCCGGGUCGCAUUAGCUAGUUGGUGAGGUAACGGCUCACCAAGGCAACGAUGCGUAGCCGACCUGAGAGGGUGAUCGGCCACACUGGGACUGAGACACGGCCCAGACUCCUGCGGGAGGCAGCAGUAGGGAAUCUUCCGCAAUGGACGAAAGUCUGACGGAGCAACGCCGCGUGAGUGAUGAAGGCUUUCGGGUCGUAAAACUCUGUUGUUGGGGAAGAACAAGUGCUAGUUGAAUAAGCUGGCACCUUGACGGUACCUAACCAGAAAGCCACGUCUAACUACGUGCCAGCCGCCGCGGUAA
rnacentral:rRNA from 1 species